CAACUUGGGUUAGAGAAAGAAUCUAGAGAGAGAAAGUGUAGAUUUGAGGUAAGCAAGUUGUUUAAUUUUGUAAUUUUUGUUUAUUUUGGUUCCUAAUGGUAUGUUGAAUAAAAUUAACAGUAAAAAAUUGUGUAAAAGUUGAGUAUAAUUAGCUAUAAACCUGUUUUAGUUAAAAAUCACAAUUAAUUAAAGAUUAAAGUAUUUUAUUAACGGUAAGAUCAGCAUAAAUCUUUGUUUAAUUUGGUUUGAUUGAAAAAUAGAUUAGUAAACAUGUGAUGAAUUGGGUUAUUUGGACACUUGGGAUUUGUGAAUAGGUUAGGCUUUAAGAAAAUCAAAAGAAUUAGUGUUUGGUAAUUAAUUAGGGAAAUUAAUAUGCAUUGUAAAUAUUGUUUAAUUCAAUUCAUAUUUGAUCUGAAAACAUGUAUGAUAUAGAUUAGAGAAUGUGAGCAUUAAAAUUUUGCAACAAUAAACUAUAUAAAUUUUCAUGGUUAGGAAACUUAAAUUAUGUUGUUUCAUUCCAGUUCCUCGUAAUAGGCAAAGAUCGCCUACUUAGAAGAAACACAAAAAGGACGUCGGUGUAAGGUAGGGAAUUUUAUGCUAUUCUAUGGUGUAUCUGAUUUCUUUCCUUGAAUUAUUUGUUGGAAUUUUAUGUUGUUUCUAUGAUUUCAUAAAAUCUUUUAAAGUGUCAUUGGAUCUCGGUUUAUUGCAUUGAAAUGUUCCAUUAUGUUGGAACGUAUAUUGGUAUGAAGAUUCGUGGUUUUGUGUUGUCGAAAUGGUUUAUGGUGUGAUUGCAUUUCAAGAAGGAUAUGGAAUUAUCACAGAUCAUAUUCAGAGAAUUUAUUGGUGGCGAAGUGCUUAUGUGAUGCUACAGGCCUUAUCAUUUGAUAUAUUGUUUAUGUGGGACCGUGGGUCCUUGGGUGAAAGUCCCUAAAGCCCUCGAGGAAGACACUCCGAUGUGGGUGUAUGGGGUUGGUCCUGCCCCUGGGUUUUAGUCCCUAAAGACACGGGGUUGGUCCUGCCCUUGGGUAUGAGUCCGAAAAGACACGGGGUAUGACUUGCCCUUGGGUGAUGUCCUAGAAUAGUCAUUAUUAUAUUGAUCGAGUAUCUUGUGGAGCAUUGAUAUCUGCUGUGUAGAUUGUUGGGAGUCAGCAAAUUAUCAGUUGUGAAAGGAUGGAUGGGGAAAAGCAAUGAUGAAACCAACAAACACAUGCAUACAUGUUUGACAUGAUUACACAUUUGUUAAUGGUUAUGAAAUGUUUAUCAUGCAUGUUAUUAAACGUUUAAUUCAAGGUUUUUAAGGGUAUACUUAGGAUGGUUAUAAACUUUCCUACUGAGUUGUGAACUCACCCUAUUCCUUCCACCUAUAGAUGUAGGUCAGAAGACUUAUGCAGGAAAGAAUGCUUGAGCAAUGCGUUAUUGUGAUUGGAUACUGUUUGCUCAUAUUGAAAGUCUUUUGAGGCCAUGCCUUUUCUAUCAAGACUACACCUUUUGUUGGAAUGAUGUAAUGUAUAUAUUUGUUAGAUACACUUGUAGUAUGGGCUACCCAUAGUAAACAAUGGGGUUUGGUAUAUGUAAAUUCAUGUUGUACAAGUUUCUUUUGUGAAACAAAACAUAUUUUGUUAACUUAAUAGUCACAAUGUUUAAUACAGGAUGUACUCUUUAUAACAGGUUUUCCAUAUCCUCUUUUUGAACAAAUUCAAGUAGGAACUCAACAUUUAAAUCUUUGAGAGCACUUAUACUAUAUUUGAGUAUCAAUUCUUUAGUUGAAGAAUAAAUGAUAAUAAUAAAAAAAAAAAAAAUUGGGGUGUGACAAAUAGCACCUAGGAUGGCAUCUCAAUGAUGCGAAACUAAACAAAACUAAGAAAUAAAAUGAAUAGAACUAUGAAUGGCUUUCCAAUGAUGAACAAUCUCGGAAACAAAUGAUUAUGUUUAGAUAGAACCUAGGAUGACAUCCUGAUUAUGGGGUGAAGGACGAGGGAUACCCUAAACAAACAUAAGGAACCGGGAUGCCCUAAAUGAUGCCCUUAAUAAGCUUAAUGAAGGAAAUUCUCUAAACAAAGUCAAGGAAGGGGGAUGCUCUAAGCAAAUUCGAGUAAGCAGGAUUCCCUUAAAAAGCCAAUGGAAGAAGAAUGUCAUAGUGAACAUUGAGAAGGGGGGUUAACUAAUAAGACUCAUAGAAAGGGCAUGCCACAAAUACACUCUACCAAGGGGGAUGCCCAAUCCCAACAAAAGAGGUUGUGCUAAAAGACCUCAAGAAAUGGAGUUGCACUAAACAAACUAUUGGAUGGGGAUGCUCUACUACACUAAAGGAAGUGGGAGUCUGCUAAAUAAUCCCUAGGAAAGGGAAUGAACUAAAAAUCUCCAUGUAGAUGGAUGACCUAAGAAACUUAAGGAAGGGUGAUGGACUAAAAAAGUAAAUCAAGGUAGUUUGAUAGCCCAAUGAACAAGAAUGUCCUAAAACAAUAGAGGAAUGGGAAUUACCCUAAUAACACUCGAGGAAAGAGGAUGCCCGAAAUAAACUCAAUGAAGGGUUAACACCCUCAUCAAACUUCAGGAAGGGGAUCCCGAAAAAACUCAAGGAAGGAGGAUGUCCUGAACAUACACAAGGAAUUGUGCAUACCCUUAAACAAACUCAUAGGAUGAUGUCCUAAUUAUGAGAAACCAAAGUAAUAUAUGAAUAAGCUUAGAUAGUUCACAAUGAUGCGAAACCAAAGGAACGAACAAUGAACAUAGGUCGAACCUAGGAUUGCAUCCAAAUGUUGGGAACCCAAAGGAACUAAGAACAAACCUAGAUAGAAACUAGGAUUACAUCACCAUGAUGAGAAACAUAACAAACAACCAACUAAGCUUAAGUAGAACCUAGGAUAGUAUGCAAACGAUCGGACACAAAAAUAACUCAAAUUUGGUACAGAUAGAACCUAGGAUAAUGUCCUAGUUAUGAGAAAUCAGAGGAACAAACAAAUAAACUUAGAUUAAAACUAGGAUAGUAACCCAACGGGUAACCAAAGGAACGAAGAAUGAACAGAGAUAGAACCAAGAAUUAUGGUCCAAUCAUGGAUGAGCAAUCAAAAGAACAAACUAAUUAGCUUAGAAAAAACCUAGGAUGGCAUCUCAAUGAUGUGAAACUAAACAAACUAAGAAUGAAAAUGAAUAAAAUUAUGAAUGGUGUUCCAAUGAUGAGCAAUCUCGGGAACAAAUGAUUAUGUUUAGAUAGAACCUAGGAUGAUAUUUGAUUAUGGGGUGAAGGACAAGGGAUACCCUAAACAAACUUAAGGAAGUGGGAUGCCCUAAAAGAUGCCCUUAAUAAGCUUAUGAAGGAAAAUCUCUAAACAAAGUCAAGGAAGGGGGAUGCUCUAAGAAAAUUCGAGUAAGGGGGAUUCCCUUAAAAAGCCAAUGGAAGAAGAAAGUCGUAAUGAACAUUGAGAAGGGGGAUUCACUAAUAAGACUCAUAGAAAGGGCAUGCCACAAACAAACUCUACCAACGGGGAUGCCCAAUCCCAACAAAAGCGGUUGUGCUAAAAGACCUCAAGAAAUGGAGUUGCACUAAACAAACUACUGGAUGGGGAUGCCCUACUACACUAAAAGAAGUGGGAGUCUGUUAAAUAAUCCCUAGGAAAGGGUAUGCCCCAAAGCAAUUGAAGGAAGUUGGUUGCUCUAAACAAACUCUAGGAAAGGGAAUGAAUUAAAAAUCUCCAUGAAGAUGGAUUACCUAAGAAACUUAAGGAAGGGUGAUGGACUAAAAAUGUAAAUCAAGGUAGUUUGAUAGCCCAAUGAACAAGAAUGUCCUAAAACAAUAGAGGAAUGGGAAUUAACCUAAUAACACUCGAGGAAAGAGGAUACCCUAAAUAAACUCAAUGAAGGGUAAUACCCUCAACAAAUUACAGGAAGGGGAUCCCGAAAAAAACUCAAGGAAGGAGGAUGUCUUGAACAUACACAAGGAAUUGUUCAUACCCUUAAACAAACUCAUAGGAUGAUGUCCUAAUUAUGAGAAACCAAAGGAAUAUAUGAAUAAGCUUAGAUAGUUCACAAUGAUGCGAAACCAAAGGAACAAACAAUGAACAUAGUUCGACCCUAGGAUUGCAUCCAAAUGUUGGGAACCAAAAGGAACUAAGAACAAACCUAGAUAGAAACUAGGAUGACAUGACAAUGAUGAGAAACAUAACAAACAACCAACUAAGCUUAGGUAGAACCUAGGAUGGUAUGCAGACAAUCUGACACAAAAAUAACUCAAAUUUGAUACAGAUAGAACCUAAGAUAAUGUCCUAGUUAUGAGAAAUCAGAGGAACAAACAAAUAAACUUAGAUUAAAACUAGGAUAGUAACCCAACGGGUAACCACGGGAACGAAGAAUGAACAGAGAUAGAACCAAGAAUUAUGGUCCAAUCAUGGAUGAGCAAUCAAAAGAACAAACUAAUUAGCUUAGAAAACACCUAGGAUGGCAUCUCAAUGAUGAGCAAUCUCGGGAACAAAUGAUUAUGUUUAGAUAGAACCUAGGAUGACAUCCUGAUGAUGGGGUGAAGGACAAGGGAUACCCUAAACAAACUUAAGGAAGUGGGAUGCCCUAAAAGAUGCCCUUAAUAAGCUUAAUCAAGGAAAAUCUCUAAACAAAGUCAAGGAAGGGGGAUGCUCUAAGCAAAUUCGAGUAAGCGGGAUGGCCUUAAAUAGACAAAGGAAGAUGAGCAUCGUAAAUGAAAAUUAAGAAGGGGGAUUCACUAAUCAGAAUCAUAGAAAGGGCAUGCCGCAAAAAAAAUCUACCAAGGGGGAUGCCCAAUCCAAACAAAAGCGGUUGUGCUAAAAAACCGCAAGAAAAAGAGUUGCGCUAAACAAACUACUGGAUUGGGAUGCCCUACUACACUACAAGAAGUGGGAGUUUGCUAAGUAAACCGUAGGAAAGGGUAGCCCUAGAAGAAUUGAAGGAAGUUGGUUGGUCUAAAAAAAUUCUAGGAAAGGGAAUGAAUUAAAAAUCUCCAUGAGGAUGGAUGACCUAAGAAAUUGAAGGAAGGGUGAUGGACUAAAGUAAAUCAAGGUAGUUUGAUAGCCCAAUGAAUACGAAUGUCCUAAAAAAAUAGAGGAAUGUGAAUACUCUAAUAACACUCGAGGAAAGAGGAUGCCCUAAAUAAAUUCAAUGAAGGGGAAUACCCUAAAUAAACUUAAGGAAGGGGAUGCCCGAAAAAACCUCAAGGAAGAAGGAUGUCCUAAACAUAUUAAAGGAAUAGGGCGUACCCUUAAACAAAAUCAUAAGAUUGCCUCCUAAUUAUGAGAAACCAAAGGAACCUAUGAACAAGCUUGGAUAAUUCACAAUAAUGGGAAACAAAAUGAACGAACAAUGAAAAUAGGCCGAACCUAGGAUUGCAUCCAAAUGUUUGGAUUCCAAAGGAACUAAGAACAAACCUAGAUAGAAACUAGGAUGACAAACAUAACAAACAACCAACCAAGCCUAGGUAGAACCUAGGAUGGUAUGCGGACGAUUGGACAUAAAUUAACUCAAAUUGCAUAUAGAUAGAACCUAUGAUGACGUCCUAGUGAUGAGAAAUCAGAGGAACCAACGAAUAAACUUAGAUUAAAACUACGAUAGUACCCCAAUGAUAGGGAACUAAAGGAACGAAGAAUGAACGGAGAUAGAACCAAGAAUUAAGGUAUAAUGAUGAGCAAUCAAAAGAACAAACGAAUUAGCUUUAAUAGAACCUAGAUUGCAACUCAAUGAUGUGAAACAAAACAAACUAAGAAUGAGAAUGAAUAGAACUAUGAAUGGCGUUCCAAAGAUGAGCAAUCUCGGGAACAAAUAAUUAUGUUUAGAUAGAACCUAGGAUGACAUCCUGAUUAUGGGGUGAAGGACGAGGGAUACCCUAAACAAACUUAAGGAAGUGGGAUGCCCUAAACGAUGCCCUUAAUAAACUUAUUAAAGGGAAUUCUCUACACAAAGUCAAUGAAGGGGUAAAUUUGAGUAAGCGUGAUGCCCUUCAAAAGCCAAUGGAAGAAGAACGUCGUAAAUGAACAUUAAGAAGGGGAAUUCACUAAUAAGACUCGUAGAAAGGGCAUGCCACAAACAAUCUCUACCAAGAGGGAUGCCCAAUCCCAACAAAAGCAGUUGUGCUAAAAAACCUCAAGAAAUGGAGUUGCACUAAACAUACUACUGGAUGGGGAUGCCCUACUACUCUAAAGGAUGUGGGAGUCUGCUAACUAAUCCCUAGGAAAGGGUUUGCCCUAAAAGAAUUGAAGGAAGUUGCUUGGUCUAAACAAACUCUAGGAAAGGGAAUGAAUUAAAAAUCUCCAUGAGAAUGGAUAACCUAAGAAACUGAAGGAAGGGUGAUGGACUAAAGUAAAUCAAGGUUGUUGAUAGCCCAGUGAACAGGAAUGACCUAAAAAAAAUAGAGGAAUGGGAAUACCCUAAACAAACGUAAGGAAGGGGAUGCCCGAAAACAACUCAUGGACGGAGGAUGUCUUGAACAUACUAAAGGAAUAGGGCGUACCCUUAAACAAACUCAUAGGUUGGCGUCCUAAUUAUGAGAAACCAAAGGAACAUAUGAAUAAGCUUAGAUAGUUCACAAUGAUGGGAAACAAUUUGAACGAACAAUGAAAAUAGGCCGAACCUAGGAUUGCAUCCAAAUAUUUGGAACCCAAAGGAACUAAGAACAAACCUAGAUUGAAACUAGGAUGACAUCACAAUGACAAGAAACAUAACAAACAACCAACUAAGCUUAGGUAGAACCUAGGAUGGUUUGCAGAUGAUCAGACACAAAAUUAACUCAAAUUGCAUAUAGAUAGAACCUAGGAUAACGUCCUAGUGAUGAAAAAUAAGAGAAACAAUGGAAUAAACAUAGAUUAAAACUAUGAUAGUAUCCCGAUGACGGGAAACUAAAGGAACGAAGAAUGAACAGAGAUAGAACCAAGAAUAAUGGUCCAAUGAUGAGCAAUCAAAAGAACAAACGAAUUAGCUUAAAUAGAACCUAGGAUGGCAUCUCAAUGAUGUGAAACUAAACAAACUAACAAUGAAAAUGAAUAGAACUAUGAAUGGCGUUCAAUUGAUGAGCAAUCUCCGGAACAAAUGAUUAUGUUUAGAUAGAACCUAGGAUUACAUCCUAAGGAAGUGGGAUGCCCGAAACGAUGCCCUUAAUAAACUUAAUGAAGGGAGGGAGAUGCUCUAAGCAAAUUCGAGUAAGCGAGAUGCCCUUAAAAAGCCAAUGGAAGAAGAGCGUCGUAAAUGAACAUUAAGAAGGGUGAUUCGCUAAUAAGACUCAUAGAAAGGGCAUGCCACAAACAAACUCUACCUAGGGGAUGCCCAAUCCCAACAAAAGCGGUUGUGCUAGAAAACCUCAAGAAAUAGAGUUGCGCUAGACAAGCUACUGGAUGGGGAUGCCCUACUACACUAAAGGAAGUGGGAGUCUGUUAAGUAAACCCUAGGAAAGGGUAUGCCCUAAAAGAAUUGAAGGAAAUUUGUUGGUCUAAAAAAACUCUAGAAAAGGGAAUGAACUAAAAAUCUCCAUGAAGAUGGAUGACCUAAGAAACUGAAGGAAGGGUGAUGGACUAAAGUAAAUCAAGGUAGUUUGAUAGCCCAAUGAACAGGAAUGUCCUAAAAAAAAAUAGACGAAUGGGAAUACCCUAAUAACACUUGUGGAAAGAGGAUGCCCUAAAUUAACUCAAUGAAGGGGAAUACCCUAAAAAAACUUAAGGAAGGGGAUACCCGAAAAAACAUUAGGGAAGAGGAUGUGCUAAACAUACUCAAGGAAAAAGGCAUACCCUUAAACAAACUCAAGAAAGGGGGAUGUGCUAAACAUACUCAAGGAUGCGGGCAUAACCUAAACAAACGCAAGGAAUAAGAAUUCUAAAAAGAAACUAUGGGAUGGGGAGGAGGAGAUGCCUUAAUAACAUUGAAGAAAAGGGGAUGAUCUAAAACAUAGAUAAGGAAGGUGGAUGGCAUAAAUUAACUGAAUGAAGGGGGACGUCUUAAACAAAAUAAUGGAAAAAGAUGCCUUAAUAAGACUCGGUAAAAUCACAUUCCCUCAAUGAACUCAGGGAAGCUCCAUGCAUUAAAGAAACACAAAAGGUGCGGUUGCCAUAAAUAAAUUCAACGAUGGAGGAUGCCCUAAACAAACUAAAAAAGAAGCCUUGUCGUAAGGAAACUCAUGGAAGGUGUGUUUCACUUCUGCUGCAGUCUUUGACCUUAAGUCUUUCUUGGGAGUUCCACUCUAUAUCAGAUAUUCUACCUCAAGGUUUCUCAGGUUGCACCCUUUUUUUAGGUGCUUCGACCCCUUCAGUCUCUCUUUGAGCCUUUUGGUCAUUUGGACAAAGGAAUGGGGGAAAAACUAGCAUAACCUAUUGGAGGGCUGAUACAAUAAUAGCCCUUUAUCUCUUAUGCUCGUUAUCCUAGGAAUAUGAUAUGCUAUACAAUCACAACCCGUCUUUGCUCAAUGGAUACAAAACACCCAUGCCCUAGCACAUGCUAAUAAGACUCAAGAAUGAGGGUUGCCUUAAACAUAAUCAAAUGAGGGGGAUGCCAUAAGUAACUCUAAGAAUAAGGGUUGUCCUAAAUAAACUCUAGGAAGGGGGAUUCCCUACAAGAAAUUCUCCAGGAAGAGGGCACAAACACUAAACAAACUCAAGGAAUAGAUAUUCUAUAAAGAAACUAAGGGAAUAUGUGACGUCUUAAUAAGACUGAAGGAAGGGUGAUGCCCUAAACAAAGAUAUGGAAGGAGAAUGUUGUAAACAAACUAAAAGAAGGGGAUGUGCUAACAAGACUCAAUGGAUGGGGAUGCCCAAAAAUUUGAAACCAAAGGAACUAAAAUUAAGCACAUGUAUAACCUAGGAUGACAUCUCAAUGAUGAGAAACAAAAACAACAAAAAAAAAAAGCUUAAAUGGAAACUAGAAUGGCAUCCCAUUUAUCGAAAGCCUUAGGAAGUUAGAAUGAACAAUGAUAGAACCUAGGAUGGCGUCCUAAUUAUGAGAAGCCAAAGGAACAUAUGAAUAAGCUUAGAUAGUUCACAAUGAUGGGAAACCAAAGGAACAAACAAUGAACAUAGACCGAACCUAGGAUUGCAUCCAAAUAUUUGAAAAUGAAAAACCAAAGGAACAUACAAAUAAGCUUAGAUAGUUCACAAUGAUGGGAAACCAAAGGAACGAACAAUGAACAUAUGUCGAACCUAGGAUUGCAUCCAAAUGUUUCGAACCCAGAGGAACUAAGAACAAACCUAGAUAGAAACUAAGAUGACGUCACGAUGAUGAGAAACAUAACAAACUACCAACUAAGCUUAGGUAGAACCUAGGAUGACAUCCUAGUGAUGAGAAAUCAGAGGAAUAAACGAAUAAACUUAGAUUAAAACUAGGAUAGUAAACCAAUGACAGAUAAGUAAAGGAACGAAGAAUGAGCAGAGAUAGAACCAAGAAUUAUGGUCCAAUGAUGAGCAAUCAAAAGAACAAACGAAUUAGCUUAGAUGGAACCUAGGAUGGCAUCUCAAUGAUGUGAAACUAAACAAACUAAGAAUAAAAAUGAAUAGAACUAUGAAUGGCGUUCCAAUGAUGAGCAAUCUUGGGAACAAAUUAUUAUGUUUAGAUAGAACCUACGAUGACAUUCUGAUUUUGGGGUGAAGAACGAGGGAUACCCUAAACAAACAUAAGGAAGUCGGAUGCGCUUAAUAAAAUUGAUGAAGGGAAUUCUCUAAACAAAGUAAAGGGGGAUGCUCUAAGAAAAUUCGAGCAAGCGGGAUGCUAUUAAAAAGCCAAUGGAAAAAGAACGUCGUAAAUGAACAUUAAGAAGGGGGGUUCACUAAUAAGACUCAUAGAAAGGGCUAGAAAGGGCAUGCCACAAAUAAAAUCUACCAAGGGGGAUGCCCAAUCCCAAGAAAUGCGGUUGUGCUAAAAAACCUCAAGAAAUGGAGUUGCGCUAAACAAACUACUUGAUGGGGAUGCCCUACUACACUAAAGGAAGUGGUAGUCUGCUAAGUAAUCCCUAGGAAAGGGUAUGCCCUCAAAGAAUUGAAGGAUGUUGGUUGGUCUAAACAAACUCUACGAAAGGGAAUGAAUUAAAAAUCUCCAUGAAGAUGGAUGACGUAAAAAACUGAAGGAAGGGAGAUGGACUAAGUAAAUCAAGCUAGUUUGAUAGCCCAAUGAAGAGGAAUGUUCUAAAAAAAUAGAGGAAUGGGAAUACCCUAAUAACAUUCGAGGAAAGAGGAAGCCCUAAAUAAACUCAAUGAAGGGGAAUACCCUAAACAAACUUAAGGAAGGGGAUGCCUGAAAACAACUCCAAGGAAGGAGGAUGUCCUGAACAUACUCAAGGAAUAGGGUAUACCCUUAAACAAACUCAAGAAAGGAGGAUGUGCUAAACAUACUCAAGGAUGUGGGCAUAACCUAAACAAAGGAAUAGGAAUUCUACAAAGAAACUAUGGGAUGGGAGGAGGACAUGCCUUAAUAGCAUUGAAGAAAAGGGGAUGAUCUAAACAUAGAUAAGGAAGGUGGAUGCCAUAAAUUAACUGAAUGAAGGGGGGGACGUCUUAAACAAAAUAAUGGAAAAAGAUACCUUAAUAAGACUCGAUGAAAUCACUUUCCCUAAAUGAACUGAAGGAAGGUCCAUGCAUUAAAGAAACACAAAAGAUGAGGUUGCCCUAAAUAAACUCAACGAUGGAGGUUGACUCAAUGAAGCAUGCGCUAAAGAAACUAUUUGUCAUCCUUGCGACACAUCCUAGGUUCUAUCUCAGUUUAUUCUUUGUUCUUUUGGAUUCUCCUCAUCGGAUAAGCUUCCUAGGUUCUAUCUUAGUUUAUGUUUCGUUCCUUUGGUUUCUCAUCAUUGGUACGCCAUCCUAGGUUUUAUCUCAGCUUAUAUUCUUUGUUCUUUGGUUCCUCAUCAUUGGGACAUCGUCCUAGGUUCUAUCUCCGUUUAUUCUUUGUUCCUUUGGUUUCUCAUCAUUGGUAUGCAAUCCUAUGUUCUAUCUAAGCUUAAUCGUUUGUUCGUUUGGUUUCUCAUCAUUAGGACACUAUCCUAGGUUUCUAUCUAAAUUUUUUCUUUAUGCCUUUGGUUUCUCAUCUUUGGAACACCAAUGCAGGUUCUAUCUCAAUUUAUUCUUUGUUGAUUUGAUUUCUCAUCAUUGGGUCGACAUACUACGUUCAAUAUAAGUUUAAUCAUUUGUUCAUUAGUUUUCUCAUCAUUGGGACACUAUCUGCAGCUCUAUCUACGUUUCUUCAUAGUUCCUUCAAUUUCUUAUCAUUUGGACACCAUCCUAAAUUCAACCUUAGUUUAUUCUUUGUUCCUGUGGAUUCUCGUCAUACGGACAAACUCCUAAGUUCUAUUUCAAUUUAUUUUUUGUUCCUUUUUUUCUAAUCGUUGGGACGCCAUCCUAGAUUCUAUAUGAGCUUAAUCGUUUGUUCCUUUGGUUUCUAAUCAUGUGGAUACAAUCCUAGAUUCUUUGAUCCUUUGGUUUCUCGUCAUGUGGACACAAUCCUUAGUUCUAUCUGAAUUAAUUCUUUGUUCAUUUGGAAUAGAUCUAAUGUUCUUUCUAUGUUUCUUCUUUGUUACUUUUCUUUCUCAUCAUUGGGACACCAUCAUAGGUUCUAUCUCAUUUGAAUCUGUGCUUAUUUCGGUUCUCACCGUUGUGAGUCUAUCCUAGGUUUUAUCUAAACUCUAUCGUUUGUCCUGUGACUUCUCAUCAUUGGGACAUUAUCCAAGGUGCUAUCUAGGUUUACUCUUUGUUCAUUCUGUUUUCUCAUCAUUGGGAAAACAUCCUUGGUUUUGUCUGUAUUUAUGUUUUAUUCCAUUGGUUUCACAUCCUUAGGAUUUUAUCCUAUGUUCUAACUUUAAUCGUUUCUUCCUUUGCUUUUGCAUCAAUGCGACACCAUCUUAGGUUCUAUCUCAAUUUAUUCUUUAUUCGUUUUGUUUCUCACCGUUGGAAAGCUAUCAUAGGUUCUAUCUAAGCUUAAUGAAUUGUAUGUUUGGUUUCUCAUCAAUUGGACACCAUCCUAGGUUCAAUGUUAGUUUAUUCUUUGUUCAUUUUGUUUCUCAUCUUUGGGACGCCAUCCUAGGUUCUAUAUAAACUUUGUCUAUGCUUAAUCAUUUGUUCGAUUAGUUUCUCAGCAUUGGGACAACAUCCUAGGUUCUAUUGUAGAGUAUUCUUUCUUUAUUUUCCCUUGCAUCAUUGGGAUGCCAUCCUAAAGUCUAUGUAGGCUUAAUCAUUUAUUCCCUUCAUUUCUCAUCAAUUGAACUCAAUCCUAGAUUGAAUCUAAGUUUCAUCUUUGAUCCUAUGGUUUUUCAUCAGUAGGACACCAUCCUAUGUUCUAUAUCAGUUUAUUCUUUGUUCAUUUUGGUUUCUAAUUAUGGAGAUGUUAUCCUGGGUUCUAUCUAUAUUUAAUCAUUUGUUCAUUUGCUUUCUCAUCAUUGGGACAUCAUCCUAGGUUCUUUCUCAGUUUAUUGUUCAUUUGGUUUCAUAUCAUCCUAAGUUCUAUUAUAGAGAUGCGGUCCUAGGUUCUAUCUAGGUUUCUCCUUUCUUCCUUUAGUUUCUCAUUGUCGGUACACCAUCCUAGGUUCUAUCUCAGUUUUUUUGUUUCUUCAUUUGGUUUCUCAACAUUGAGACACUAUCAUAGGUUCUAUCAAACCUUAAUUGUUUGUUCCUUCGGUUUAUGAACCAAUUUGGGACACCAUCCUAGGUUCUAUCUCAGUUUUUUCUUUCUUCAUUUGGUUUCUCAACACUGAGACACUAUCAUAGGUUCUAUCAAACCUUAAUUGUUUGUUCCUUCGGUUUAUGAACCAAUUUGGGACACCAUCAUAGAUUUGAUUUUAGUUUAAUGUUUGUUCCAUUGGUUUCUGAUCACUUGGACAAUAUCCUAUGUUCUAUCUAAGUUUAUUGUCUGUUUAUUUGGUGUCCCCAUCAUUAGGACACCAUCCUAGGCUCUAUCUAACCUUAAAUGUUAGUUCCUUUCAUUUCUUAUCAAUAGGACUGCAUCCUCGGUUGAACCUUAGUUUCUUCUCUCUUCAUGUGGUUUCUAAAAAUUGUGACAUCAUCCUAUAUUCUAUCUCAGUUUUUUGUUUUUUCAUUUGGUUGCUCAUCACUGGGACGUCAUCCUAGGUUCUAUCUAUCCUUAAUCAUUUGUUCCUUUGGGUUUCUAAACAUUGGGAUACCAUCCUAGGUUUAAUUUAAGUUUGAUGUUUUUUCCUUUGGUUUCUCAUCAUCGGUAAACCAUCCUAGGUUUGAUCUUAGUUUAUUAUUUUAGGUACAACCUAGGAUGGCGUCCACAUGGUGAUAAAUCAAUGAAACUAAGAAUAAAAUUAGAUAAACCUAAAAGGGUGUCCCAAUGAUGAGAAAGCAAAUGAACUAAAAUUAACCAGGAUAGAACCUAAGGUGGCGACCUAAUGAUGAGAAUCAAACGAAUAAGGUUAGAUAGAACCUAGGAUAGCGUACUACUGAUGAGAAAUGAAAGGACCAAAGAAUAAACUUAGAUAGAACCUACGAUUGUGUCCCCAUGACAAGAAUCCAAAGGACCAAAUGAUUGAGCUUAUAUAAUCUAGGAUGGCGUCUCAAUGAUUAGAAACAAAAUGAAUCUUUUAGCUUAAGUGUUUUAUUUAUGGUAAGAUCAGCAUAAAUCUUUGUUUAGUUUGGUUUGAUUGAAAAAUAGAUUAGUAAACAUGUGAUUAAUUAGGUUAUUUGGACACUUGGGAUUUGUUACUGGGUUAGGCUUUAGGAAAAAAAAUGAAAACAAUUGAUGUUUGGCAAUUAAUAUGAGAGUUAAAAAUUAAUAGCAGACAGUUGUUAAAAAUUAGUAAGAAAGGAAAAUUUCAUAAGUUUUAAUUGAAUAAAUUUUUGUGGUUAAGAAACCUAAAUCAUUUUAUUUUAUUUCAGUUCCUUGUAAUAGGUAAAGAUCGAUUACAUUGUAGAAUUACAGAGGUAAAGUCCGUGUAAGGUAGUGAAUUUUAUACUGUUCCAUGGUGUAUCUAAUUUCUUACCUUGAAACAUAUAUCAGAAUUUCACGCCAUUUCUAUGAUGUUUUAAUGUGUCAUUACAUCUCGGUUUAUUGUAUUGAAAUGUUACAAUGAGAUUGGUAUGAAGAGUCAUGGUUCCGUGUUGUGGAAAUGGUUCAUGGUGUGGUUGCAUUGCAAGAAGGAUAUGGAACAAUCACAAAUGAUAUUCAAAAAAUUGAUUGUGGGAAGUGUUUAGUGAUGCUACAUGCAUUAUCCUAUGAUAUAUUGUUUAUGUGGGACCGUGGGUCCUUGGGUGAAAGUCCCUAAAGCCCUCGAGGAAGACACUCCGAUGUGGGUGUAUGGGGUUGGUCCUACCCCUGGGUUUUAGUCCCUAAAGACACGGGGUUGGUCCUUCCCUUGGGUAUGAGUCCUAGAAGACAUGGGGUAUGACUUACCCUUGGGUGAUGCCCUAGAAUAGUCAUUAUUAUAUUGACCUAGUAUCUUGUGGAGCAUUGAUAUCUGAUGUGUAGAUUGGUGGGGGUUAGCAGUUUAUCAGUUGUGAAAGGAUGGAAGAUGAAAAGCAAAAAUGAAACUAGAAAACACAUGCAUACAUGUUUGAUAUGAUUGCAUAUUUAUUAAUGGUUACAAAAUGUUUAUCAUGCAUCAAUUAAACGUUUAAUUCAAGAUUUGUAAGGGUAUGCUUAGGAUGGUUAUAAACUUUCCUACUGAGUUGUGAACUCACCCUAUCCUUUCCACCUUUAGAUGCAGGUCAGAAGACCUAUGCAAGAAAUAAUGCUUGAGCAAUUCUUUACUGUGAUUGGAUGUUGUUUGCUCGCAAUGAAAGUGUUUUGAGGCUUUGCCUAUGUAUUAAAGAUUGAAUCUUUUUGUAUGAAUGAUGUAAUGUAUAUAUUUUUCAAGUACACUUGUAGUAUGGGCUACCCGCAGUGAACCAUGGGGUUUUGGUAUAUGCAAAUUAAUUUAGUACAUGUUUCUUUUCUGAAACGAAACUCAUUUUGUUAACUGAUAGUUACAAAGUUUAAUACAAGAUGUACUCUUUAUAAUAGGUUUUGCAUAUCCUCUUUUUGCACAAAAUCAAAUAGCAACUCAGCAUUUAAAUUUUUGUAUCCCCAUAUAUUUAAGAGCACUUAUAUUGUAUUUGAGUAUCAAUUGUUCGGUUAAAAAAAAUGAGGUGUGACAGGUGUCACAUUGAUUAAAAAAAAAAUGAAGAAACGAUUAUGGUUAGAUAGAAAAUAGGAUGGUUUAUAAUGAAGACAAACCAAAGGAACAAGGAAUAAACUAAGAUAAAACCUAGGAUAGUUUCCAAAUGAUGAGAAAAGAAAGGAACAAAGAGGAAACUGAGAUAGAACCUGGGGUUGUGUGUCCUAGUGAUAAGAAACAAAAGGAAGAAUCGAUUAAGCUUAGAUAGAACCUAGGAUUGUGUCCCAAUUAUGAGAAACCAAAUGAACAAAGAAUAAACUAAGAUAAUACAUAGGAUGGUGUCGCAUUGAUGCAAUAGCAAAGGAAGAAACAAUUAAGGUUAGAAAGAACCAGGAUGGUGUCCCAAUGAUGAGAAACCAAAGGAACAGUUUAUUAAGCUUAGACAAAACCUAGGAUGGUAACCCAAUAAUGAGAAACUAAAUGAUCAAACAAUUGAACUUAGAUAGAACCUAGGAUAGCGUCCCAAUGAUGAGAAACAAAAUGAGAUAAAACCUAGGAUUGUUUUCCCAAUGAUGAGGAACCAAAGGAACAAACCAUUAAGUUUAGAUAGAACCUAGGAUGGCAUCCCAUUGAUGAGAAACGAAAUGAAAAAGAAUGAAUUGGGAUAGCACUUAGGACGGUGUCCUAAUGAUGAGAAACCAAAGGAACAAUGAAGAAACUUAGAUAAAACUUAGGAUGGUAUCCUAAAGAUGAGAAACCAAAAGGAAUAAACGAUUGAACUUAGAGAGAAGUCAGGAUGGCGUUCCAAUGAUAAGAAACCAAAGGAAAAAACAAAUAUUCUUAGAUAGUACCUAAGAUUGUGUCCCAGUGAUUAUUAAUGAGUGAAACUAAGAAUAAACUUAAAACCUAUAAUGGAGUUCCAAUGAAGAGAAAGCAAAGAAACUAAGAUAAAACCUAGGAUGGUGACCCAAUGAUGAGAAACCAAUGGAACAAACAUUAAUAAGGUUACAUAGAACCUAGGAUGGUGUUCUAAUGAUAAGAAACAAAAGGACCAAAAAAUAAACUUAGAUAAAACCUACGAUGGUUUCCAAAUGAUGAGAAUCCAAAGGACCAAAUGAUUAAGCUCAACUCAAAAUAUCAAUCCUAAAAAAAUUCUAUUUUCUUUAAAAGAGUCUUUCAAAGAUAAUAAACCCAAAAUGUGAAUUUUAACUAAAUCACAAACAAUUAAGUACUACAAUUAUCCAACUUUACAAAUCAAUCAAGCAAGCAAACUGAAUCACCUUGCCUAAAGGAAGGAAGGUACUUUCUAAUCAACCAAUUAAACAACAUAUUUUCCUCAACUAGUGUUCAAGCUUGAUCCUAAAAAAUUCUCAAUGGAGUCAUCAAUUUGUGGAUCUGCAUUUUUCACGUGCGUUCCCACUCAUUGAUGGGAGUCACUUUUUAAAUGAUAAAAAAUUAUUGUUGUUAAAAUUGGAGUUGCCACUUAUUUUUAUUUGUUUUUAAGGAAAAUAAAAUAAAAUUCUAAAAGCCUAAGAAAAAUAACUCCUUAAGUUUUGGAUAAGGUGUUUAGCACCCUCUAAGCCUUAAAAAGGUCUCUAUAACUAGAUUGAGGGAAAUAAGACAAUUAAUCGAUUGACUAAUGAUACCAAGAAAGGAUAAGGUGUUUAUCUAAAUUCAAAUUACAUGUUAUCCAUAUUCAAACAAAUAUAUCUAAGCAAUCAAUCACACGAGUAAGGAAGAUAGGCAUACUACCUGAGUUGUAACUUAAGUGUUGUCACAAGACAUCAAAGUUAGUUUUAAAAAAAAACACAUACACACACACACACACACAUGUAUUUUACCAUAGUAAGAAAUCUAACAUAAGCAAUCAAAAAAAUCUAUUAAGCAUGAUAAUGAUCAUAUAUGAAGCUUUACAUAGCUAAUGGAAUUAAGAUGCAAAGAUAAAAAGCGUACCUGAAUAGCAUAAAUAGCUUACAAUGUGCUUCCAUAAGACAUGAGAGGUUAGAUCAAAGUUAUAAUAACAGACAAUAAAGAAAAGAAAUCCUAACAUGCAUGGUAUCUAAAUAUUAUAACAGAAAUGAGCAAAGUAUAAGAAAACACAAAUUAUUAAAUAAGUCAUGUAUACAACUCCCAAAAAAAAAAAAUAAAGAAAGGGUUAUGAUUAAAACAUGUAGCAAAAGGGGCACACUAUUAUCAAAAGGAAAAUUUUAAAUUAAUAUCUAGGAACAUCAUUUGAUCAUGAAAUUAAGACAAACCUCUCUAUUAUGCCUAUAUCACAAUACAAUAACCAAAGUCAAGCAAAAUAAGUCAAAUAACACCAAAAAAAAAAAAAAGGCAAAGUCAAGUAAAGUACAAGACUUUUAGCAUGUGAUCAGAAUAGGAAGCAUCAUAAAACAAAUCCCAAAAAAAAAAAUCUUGAAGUAGAAUUUAAUUACAAAAGUUUUCAGGAAACAUCUCCUACACGUUUAGAACAACAUAAAAAAGCCCAAACUGAAUUUGUAAAAAUAUUGAAAGGUCUCCUAAAAUCAUAAAAAAAAAAAAAAAUCAUACAUGUACUUCAAAUUGUCUAGUUUACAAAACUAAAAUAAAUAAAUAAAGGCCAGACUUGGGAGCCUUAGAAAGUAUUCUAAAACACUCAAACUUAUCAGCUAUCCAAAAACAGUCAUGUGCAGUAGGCACAAAUUUGAAAAAUCAUCUCUUAAGAAAACAUACUUUUUAAUAUUUUGUCUCAAAAUUCAAUCUUAAGAAGUAAAAAAUCUGAGGAAAAUAUUUAUUUAAAUUUAAAAUAUCAAAAAGUAAUUUAAUUUUGCAAAGUACUCUCAAGUGUACAGAAGUAAGCCUAAACAAAACAUGCUGAAAGAGAUGAUCAUAAUUUUGACUUCAAGAAAAUCUAUUUGACUCGAAUAAUAUUCCAAAAUCAAGUUCAAGAAGUAAUGAACAUCGUCAAAUUUUUGGAAAUCUUUUUUUAAAUACUCUAAAUUAUCAAAACAAAUUUUAAAUCCCAAGGGUUAGUAGCUGAGUGGAAACCGAAAACAAGAACGAGUUUUGAAAAAUUCUUUCAUAUAAGGAUUCCAUCAAUCCCCCAUUCAAUCUCCAUUUGUUUUACUUGUGUAUUCCCAUUAAUUUGGGAGCACAAGUCCAAGCCUAUGUGAAUAAAAAAAAAAAAUUGAAAACAAACAAAGGAGAAUGCAACUUAGAUGAAAUGAGUUGCAUAAUUUUAAAAGAAAAUACAAUUUUUUUCCUAAACCAAGAACGAAUAUUUUUUUCAAAGCCUUUUGAUGAUUUAAAUACUUUUGAAAGUAGUUUUAGGUGCAAAAGGAAACAAGCGAAUUAAGAAAUCCCAAACAAUAGCCAUAGAGUAGGAAUUUUUAAAUUCUAAUGUAAAGGACUUUGAAAACAAGACAAAUAAACAACUUGGAUCUCCUUUUUGGCCACCUUUUACUCAUCAUCCAAGAGCCUCAAUCAUGAUGGAGAAAAUUUAUUUUUUAUGAAAAGAAGGGAACAACUUUGAUUCAACUCAAAAUAUCAAUCCUAAAAAAAAACUCUUUUCUUUAAAAAAAGUCUUUCAAAGAUAAUAAACCAAAAAUGUGAAUUUUAACUAAGUCCCAAACAAACCAAUAUGCUUUCAAAAAUAAAAAUCAAGACUUUUAAUAGCAUGAAAUAUAAGCCAACACCAUGAAUAAUACAUAACAACCAGAAAACUAAAAUCCUAAGAAUUUUCUAAGCUUUCAAAAAUAAACAUCAAGACUUUUAAUAGCAUGAAAUAAAACCAAAAGAUCUAGAACCUAAAAAAUACCAAUCUUCUAAGGAUGAAACCUUUAAUAAAAAUAAUCAUCAAAUUACAAAUAUAAUAACUGUAACACCUAGUACUAAUGAUUAUUUUAGUACUUAACUUUAAGCUUGCUUAAUUAGAUGUUAAAACUGGUUUAGUGCUAAUCAUGUUUAAUUAUGAAUUAAACUUUGAUUAAGGUUAAGUGGGAUUAGUUAAUGACCUAAGCAUGCUUAUUAGGUUCUUAGGGACUAAUUAAGGUUAUGAAAACCUAAAGGACUAAUGGGCAAUUAUGGGUUUUAUUUUUUAUAACUUGAAGGACUAAAGUGCAAAAUUUGGAAAUUAAGGUUAGUGGAAUGCCACCUCCUACUUGGGUGGAUUGGUGGCAGCCAUGUGGGCUGCCACCUCAUGCUUGGGUUCUUGGAGACCCCUUUAUAAGGGGGUUGCAGCUCGUUUUGCUCCAUUUCACCUGCAUCAACUUGGGUUAGAGAGAGAAUCUAGAGAGAGAAAGUGUAGAUUUGAGGUAAGCAAGUUGUUUAAUUUUGUAAUUUUCGUUUAUUUUGGUUCCUAAUGGUAUGUUGAAUAGAAUUAACGGUAAAAAUUGUGUAAAAAGUUGAGUAUAAUUAGCUAUAAACCUGUUUUAGUUAAAAAAAUUCACAAUUAAUUAAAGAUUAAAGUAUUUUAAGUUAAGUAUUUUAUUAAUGGUAAGAUCAACAUAAAUCUUUGUUUAAUUUGGUUUGAUUGAAAAAUAGAUUAGUAAACAUGUGAUGAAUUGGGUUAUUUGGACACUUGGGAUUUGUUAAUAGGUUGGGCUUUAAGAAAAUCAAAAGAAUUAGUGUUUGGUAAUUAAUUAGGGAAAUUAAUAUGCAUUGUAAAUAUUGUUUAAUUCAAUUCAAAAUUUGAUCUAAAAACAUGUAGGAUAUAGAUUAGAGAAUGUGAGAAUUAAAAAUUUGCAACAAUAAACUAUAUAAAUUUUCAUGGUUAGGAAACCUAAAUUAUGUUGUUUCAUUUCAGUUCCUCGUAAUAGGCAAAGAUCGCCUACUUAGAAGAAACACAAAAAGGAAGUCGGUGUAAGGUAGGGAAUUUUAUGCUAUUCUAUGGUGUAUCUGAUUUCUUUCCUUGAAUUAUUUGUUGGAAUUUUAUGAUUUCAUAAAAUCUUUUAAAGUGUCAUUGCAUCUCGGUUUAUUGCAUUGAAAUGUUACCAUGAUGCUGGAACGUAUAUUGGUAUGAAGAUUCGUGGUUUUGUGUUGUCGAAAUGGUUUAUGGUGUGAUUGCGUUGCAAGAAGGAUAUGGAAUUAUCACAAAUCAUAUUCAGAGAAUUUAUUGGUGGCGAAGUGCUUAUGUGAUGCUACAGGCUUUAUCAUUUGAUAUAUUGUUUAUGUGGGACCGUGGGUCCUUGGGUGAAAGUCCCUAAAGCCCUCGAGGAAGACACUCCGAUGUGGGUGUAUGGGGUUGGUCCUGCCCCUGGGUUUUAGUCCCUAAAGACACGGGGUUGGUCCUGCCCUUGGGUAUGAGUCCCAAAAGACACGGGGUAUGACUUGCCCUUGGGUGAUGUCCCAGAAUAGUCAUUAUUAUAUUGAUCGAGUAUCUUGUGGAGCAUUGAUAUCUGCUGUGUAGAUUGUUGGGAGUCAGCAAAUUAUCAGUUGAAGAAAGGAUGGAUGGGGAAAAGCAAUGAUGAAACCAACAAAAACAUGCAUACAUGUUUGACAUGAUUACACAUUUGUUAAUGGUUAUGAAAUGUUUAUCAUGCAUGUUAUUAAAUGUUUAAUUCAAGGUUUUUAAGGGUAUACUUAGGAUGGUUAUAAACUUUCCUACUGAGUUGUGAACUCACCCUAUUCCUUCCACCUAUAGAUGCAGGUCAGAAGACCUAUGCAGGAAAGAAUGCUUGAGCAAUGCUUUACUGUGAUUGGAUGCUGUUUGCUCAUAUUGAAAGUCUUUUGAGGCCAUGCCUUUUGUAUCAAGACUACACCUUUUGUUGGAAUGAUGUAAUGUACAUAUUUGUUAGAUACACUUGUAGUAUGGGCUACCCAUAGUAAACAAUGGGGUUUGGUAUAUGUUAAUUAAUGUUGUACAAGUUUCUUUUGUGAAACAAAACAUAUUUUGUUAACUUAAUAGUCAC
rnacentral:lncRNA from 1 species